rnacentral:rRNA from 2 species
CGAGUGAAGCGGCAAUAGCUCAAAUUUGAAAUCUGGCUCUGCUCUAGGGUCCGAGUUGUAAUUUGUAGAGGGUGCUUUGGCACUGAUGGCGGUCUAAGUUCCUUGGAACAGGACAUCACAGAGGGUGAGAAUCCCGUACGUGGUCGCUAAUCUUUGCCGUGUAAAGCCCCUUCAACGAGUCGAGUUGUUUGGGAAUGCAGCUCUAAAUGGGAGGUAAAUUUCUUCUAAAGCUAAAUAUUGGCCAGAGACCGAUAGCGCACAAGUAGAGUGAUCGAAAGAUGAAAAGCACUUUGGAAAGAGAGUCAAAAAGCACGUGAAAUUGUUGAAAGGGAAGCGCUUGCCGCCAGACUUGUCUGCAGUUGCUCACCUAGGCGUUCAGCCUGGGGCACUCUUCUGUAGGCAGGCCAGCAUCAGUUUGGGCAGCCGGAUAAAGGUCUCUGACACGUUCCUUCUACCUUUGUGUAGAUGGCCAUAUAGGGGAGACGUCAUGCGGUUAGCCUGGACUGAGGUCCGCGCAUUGCUAGGAUGCUGGCGUAAUGGCUGCAAGCGGCCCGUCUUGAAACACGGACCAAGGAGUCUAACAUCUAUGCGAGUGUUUGGGUGUCAAGCCCGAGCGCGCAAUAAACGUGAACGGAGGUGGGAACUCUCUCUUGGGGGUGCACCAUCGACCGAUCCUGAUGUCUUCGGAUGGAUUUGAGUAAGAGCAUAGCUGUUGGGACCCGAAAGAUGGUGAACUAUGCUUGAAUAGGGUGAAGCCAGAGGAAACUCUGGUGGAGGCUCGCAGCGGUUCUGACGUGCAAAUCGAUCGUCAAAUUUGGGCAUAGGGCGAAAGACUAAUCGAACUAUCUAGUAGCUGGUUCCUGCCGAGU